rnacentral:rRNA from 1 species
AUUGAACGCUGGCGGCAGGCCUAACACAUGCAAGUCGAACGGUAACAGAAAGCAGCUUGCUGCUUUGCUGACGAGUGGCGGACGGGUGGGUAAUGUCUGGGAAACUGCCUGAUGGAGGGGGAUAACUACUGGAAACGGUAGCUAAUACCGCAUAACGUCGCAAGACCAAAGAGGGGGACCUUCCGGCCUCUUGCCAUCGGAUGUGCCCAGAUGGGGUUAGCUUGUUGGUGGGGUAACGGCUCACCAAGGCGACGAUCCCUAGCUGCUCUGAGAGGCUGACAAGCCCCACUGGAACUGCGCCACGGUCCACACCCCUCCGGGAGGCCGCCGCGGGGAAUAUUGCACACUGGGCGCCAGCCUGAUGCCGCCAUGCCGCGUGUAUGAAGAAGGCCUUCGAGUUGUAAAGUACUUUCAGCGGGGAGGAAGAGAGUAAAGUUCAUACCUUCGCUCAUUGACGUUACCCGCAGAAGAAGCAACGGCUAACUCCGUG